ACGAACGCUGGCGGCAGGCUUAACACAUGCAAGUCGAACGCCCCGCAAGGGGAGUGGCAGACGGGUGAGUAACGCGUGGGAAUCUACCGUACCCUACGGAAUAACGCAUGGAAACGUGUGCUAAUACCGUAUACGCCCUUAGGGGGAAAGAUUUAUCGGGGUAUGAUGAGCCCGCGUUGGAUUAGCUAGUUGGUGGGGUAAAGGCCUACCAAGGCGACGAUCCAUAGCUGGUCUGAGAGGAUGAUCAGCCACAUUGGGACUGAGACACGGCCCAAACUCCUACGGGAGGCAGCAGUGGGGAAUAUUGGACAAUGGGCGCAAGCCUGAUCCAGCCAUGCCGCGUGAGUGAUGAAGGUCUUAGGAUUGCAAAGCUCUUUCACCGAUGAAGAUAAUGACGGUAGUCGGAGAAGAAGCCCCGGCUAACUUCGU
rnacentral:rRNA from 1 species